rnacentral:misc_RNA from 1 species
CCCCCCACACCGCCGUCCCUAUACGUGCAAGUCGAACGCUUCUUUUUCCACCGGAGCUUGCUCCACCGGAAAAAGAGGAGUGGCGAACGGGUGAGUAACACGUGGGUAACCUGCCCAUCAGAAGGGGAUAACACUUGGAAACAGGUGCUAAUACCGUAUAACAAUCAAAACCGCAUGGUUUUGAUUUGAAAGGCGCUUUCGGGUGUCGCUGAUGGAUGGACCCGCGGUGCAUUAGCUAGUUGGUGAGGUAACGGCUCACCAAGGCCACGAUGCAUAGCCGACCUGAGAGGGUGAUCGGCCACAUUGGGACUGAGACACGGCCCAAACUCCUACGGGAGGCAGCAGUAGGGAAUCUUCGGCAAUGGACGAAAGUCUGACCGAGCAACGCCGCGUGAGUGAAGAAGGUUUUCGGAUCGUAAAACUCUGUUGUUAGAGAAGAACAAGGAUGAGAGUAACUGUUCAUCCCUUGACGGUAUCUAACCAGAAAGCCACGGCUAACUACGUGCCAGCAGCCGCGGUAAUACGUAGGUGGCAAGCGUUGUCCGGAUUUAUUGGGCGUAAAGCGAGCGCAGGCGGUUUCUUAAGUCUGAUGUGAAAGCCCCCGGCUCAACCGGGGAGGGUCAUUGGAAACUGGGAGACUUGAGUGCAGAAGAGGAGAGUGGAAUUCCAUGUGUAGCGGUGAAAUGCGUAGAUAUAUGGAGGAACACCAGUGGCGAAGGCGGCUCUCUGGUCUGUAACUGACGCUGAGGCUCGAAAGCGUGGGGAGCAAACAGGAUUAGAUACCCUGGUAGUCCACGCCGUAAACGAUGAGUGCUAAGUGUUGGAGGGUUUCCGCCCUUCAGUGCUGCAGCUAACGCAUUAAGCACUCCGCCUGGGGAGUACGACCGCAAAGGUUGAAACUCAAAGGAAUUGACGGGGGCCCGCACAAAGCGGUGGAAGCAUGUGGUUUAAUUCGAAGCCAACGCGAAGAACCCUAACCAGGUCUUGACAUCCUUUGACCCACUCUAGAGAUAAAGAGCUUUCCCCUUCGGGGGCAAAGUUGA